UAUACCAUGUUAACGGAAAAAAAAAUAGAUGAUAAUGAUUAAUGAUUCCCGUACCCAUUCCCCCUUUCCAAUCUUUCUAUACUAUUUUUAUCUUUUCUUUUUGGACUAAUUUCUGCUAUCCACUCAACCACCACCCUAUAAAUUGCUAUGAACUUAUCACCAUGAAACCCAAAGAAAGAAACCAUCAUUUCAUCAUCCUACCGCUCUGCAAACUCAAAACCCCACCGUUUUGAUCCUUUCUCUCUCUAUAUGUAUAUCUAUAUAGAGUGAGAAAGAUAUAGAAACUGUGAACAACUCAACACCAUCCAUGGAUCUUGAAAGAAACACUCUCAUUUCUCACUACAAUUUUUACAAUCAUACUUCUUUGAUGUCUUUUGUUGCUUUUUCUGAUUUGAUGUCUGCAUCAUCAUCUUCUUCAUCUAACCCUUCUUCUAACCCCAUCAAGACCCAUUUUGCUGGUGAAAAUUACAAUUGAAAGUGAUCAUCUUUAUCAUCUUUUUGUUGUCAAGUUUUAAACUUUUUAAUACUUGUUGAAGAAAUUAUGAUGCUUGCUUCAUUUUCUGGGGGUUUUUGUCACCAACAGAUGGCAUGUGCUAAGUUUCACUGGCCUCUUUUAAGGUCUCGAGUUAACCGGAAUGUUGAUGAAAAGUUCAAGAACUUGACAGAUUUCACCGCUUCUACCGCCAUGAUCAAGCACAAGAAGAGGAGUAGGUUAAGCUUAUCACCCAUGGCCGCAGCUGCUCCGGUCAAAACCGGCGAUUUUUCAUCUCCAAAAUUCUACCAGGAGGCUUUAACUGCAGCCAGAGCAAAUUUUACACAAGAAAUAUCUUUCCAGUCUAAAGACAAAGAUAUAUCCCUUGCUAAGACUCUUUUGUAUAUUUCUGCUGAAGAUGAAGCGUUUAUUGCUUAUAACCGUGAGAUGGAUGCGUAUUCAUUCCAAAACGAGCGCGAGGGUAGCAAGUCGUCAUCCGACGGCCAAGAUUUAGACGAAAAAGAGUCUAUGCUUUUGGCGGGAAAGAAAAUUGAAGAUUGGUUGGCGGAACUCGAUGCCAUUGCAAAAGAAGUUGAGGUUGAACUGAUGUCAAGAGACAUCGGUUGCCAUUUGACUGAAGUUUUAGAGGCAGUCAACAAAGUUCUGUUUGACUCGAUGGGUUUCAAAAGGUCAAACAUUGUGGAUUCCAAAUGUUCCUAUUUGCAUUCUGUUUUAAGUUCCAAAUGUGGCAGUGCAAUUUUGCUUAGCAUUAUUUACAUUGAGGUUUGUCGAAGACUUAAUUUGACUAUUGUUGGAUCCUGUGUCGGGGAAGACUUUUUGAUCUGGCCCGAAACAGGAAAUCCCGAGGAGCUUUUUAAGGUAAAUUCAGGGCACAGCUUAUUCGGGAUAGUCAACGGGCGGUGUGUCGAGGACCCAAAGUCAAAAGCAUCGGAUUUAAACAGCAGUUCACUUCUGGGACUCGACAUUGCUUCAAACCGGGAUAUUAUUGGGAUUUAUCUUGCUAAUUUGAUUAGGCUUCACUGGAAACGUGCUUCAAGAAUGAAUCGUGGGUUAAUGUUGACGUCUCCACUUAGGCCUGUUCAUGACGAUAAGUCCGAUGGUUCAAGCGUACCGUUGUUGCGGCCUCAAGAUCUAAGGUUUCAGGAUUGACAUGAGAAUUGACAGGAGAUUUUUGUUAAACUGUGACCAAUGCCCAAUAAUCCCCACUUUCUAAUAUUUAAAAAGAAAAAAAGAUAAAAUUUUUAAUACACGAUCCGCUGAAAACUUGCAAAGUGUCCAUUCUUGAACUCAUUUUAAAUGUGCGGAAUCAGUCCAUGAAUGGACAUAUAAUGUCAUGUUUCAAAAACUACCAUAUUUUACUGAUAUAAUAUUUACAACUCACUAGUCAUAUUUGGAAUCUUUAUAUGGUCAUGUAUAUUAGUGUCUUAUCGUACAUGAUAAAAACUUAAACUUGAACGCUAAGUCGGUUGGUUUCUUGUGUUUGGCAUGUUGCAUCUGUUGUCAUGCACUAGGCUGGCUAUCAUGGCGUCCGAGAAACUACUGAUAUUGCAGCCUCAUAACUGGGCGCUAAGGAGAGAUCAUGGCAUGAUGUUAUAUUUCAUGAGGGAAUAUGGAGAGGCAGUUCAAGAACUAAGCAUUUGCAUGGCUUUUGCACCUGAAGAAGAAGCGGAAAUCUUGGAACCUUUUGUGGAGAAGUUGCAUUUGUUGAGGCUUGAAUCGUCUUGGAAGUCAUUGGGACACAAAGGCCGACUAACGGUUCCUUAAAAACACAUGUCGUGUUGUUCCAUUCAAGUUUUUAGCAUUUGACAUUAGCUAGGUGAUCUUGUAGCUAGCUGGCUUCAGCCAUGAAUGUUGGAUCAUCUGAUUUUCAAGAAUCAGUAGUUAUAAUAGUAAUGAGUAUUGCACUCUAA